CUGCAUAACUCUGUAAUCAUAAAACUCCCCUAGCCCCAACUGUGAAUGUGAGUAAAUAGAUAAAGAUGCUUGUUAGUUCUGGGACACUAGAUAAGAUCUGUUUCAGCCAUAAGGUCCCAAAGUAAAUUACUCAACUCUUUGUUCUGUUGAACUGAUGUUCUGAACACUGCUAUCUAUAGAACUAUCUACAAACAUCUGCUGACCAUCAGUACAUGUCAGCUGACCACUACCCUUUGUUCCUCUUCUGUAAAUUUCUCCUGUUAACUUCCCCUGCAACCCCUUAUAAAAAGAGCCUCCGACUCUGGGCUAGUCACCUCUCUAAGCUACUUUGCUUUGGGAGUGCCAUCUGGCCAGACUAAGGUCUAUUUUACUUUCCAACUUGUCUGGUGUGUUCCUUCCUGGGUGUUCUUCGCUGCAGUCAGCUCCUCAGAGCGUUUGGUAAGGCCCUCGGUCUUACAUUUUGGAGGCCCCAGUGAGAUUCCCGGGUAAGGAACCCCGGUUCAGCCGGGACUCUGUGGCGGGAUCCAGCAGGAGACUCAGGCACAGACCUCAGAAAACCUCCAGAGGUUUGAUUCCAAGACCCUGGAACAUCAUUGGAAGGGACCGGUUCCUGUUGUCCUGUCAACUCCCUUGGCGGUAAAGGUGGCUGGACAUUCUGCCUGGAUACAUCGCAACCAUCUGAAAGCAGGACCCCCCCGUGGACGUCAAAAAGGACAAAUGGAAGGUUAUCAGCCAACCAGGCAACCAAAAGCUAAGAUUGGAGCGGGUUGGAGAUGUUUCGCCUUCAUGAUAAUGUUCUCUGGGACACUGGCAGUAUUGCCCCCAGGAGGACUAGAUCACACAAAAAAAUGUAUGGAGUCAAUUGGCAAACUCGCUUAAUUUGUCUGAAUUCUGUCUAAAUGUUGAUGUAAAUUUCCAUCAUGUAUUGGGGACAUGCCUCAUGUCGUAAACCUAAGAAUGCUGUCAAAUUAUAUACACCCAGGGUAAUUAUGUCAAAUAAUACCCAAUGUGGUAUGUAUGAAAACUGUAUAACCAAAUGUCUGAGGAUAAAAUGGUCAGAAGGAAUGCUCUGCCAUAUAAAACAAAAAACAUGUGUAUAACAAUUGCCAUAUCUCCCUACCAAUAGGAUGGUUUUAUACCUGUGAAGAAAUAACUUUCAAUUAUAUCCCAGCCAAUUUAACCAAGACCCAUUCCUGCUUGAGUCAUCUAGCUGUGGUUCUACCAGAUAGAACUGAUUUGAUUAUGCCAAACAGAACUAAACAUUGGUCACCCUAUACUGCACCAGGAUGUGAUGAUGAUGUAGGUCUGUUGACAGAUGCUGAAGUAAUAACCAUGAUAGCAUCUUUUGUUGCCUUGCCUUCCAUAGGAGUCCAUACUGAAAAGGCAGUAAGGAAAUUAACAUGCAAGGUGGUCAAAAGGUUAAAUGCUACCUCAUCAGCCUUGGCAUUAAUUAACCAAGAGUUACAAGAACAGAGACAGGCAAUCUUAGACAAUAGGGCAGCGAUAGACUAUUUGUUGCUCUUCUACCACCAAGGUUGUGAGAAAAUAAGAAAUAUGUGUUGUUUCAAUCUUACUGACAAUAGUCCAAAAAUCAAAGAAAAGGUAAAACAAUUGGAAGACCUGGCUCAAAGGGUACAUAAUGAAGAUGGCUGGGACUUGUUCCAAUGGCUAACUAAAUGGUUGCCCAACCUA